AGUGAACGCUGGCGGUAUGCCUAACACAUGCAAGUCGAACGGCAGCACAGUAAGAGCUUGCUCUUACGGGUGGCGAGUGGCGGACGGGUGAGGAAUACAUCGGAAUCUACUUUUUCGUGGGGGAUAACGUAGGGAAACUUACGCUAAUACCGCAUACGACCUACGGGUGAAAGCAGGGGAUCUUCGGACCUUGCGCGAUUGAAUGAGCCGAUGUCGGAUUAGCUAGUUGGCGGGGUAAAGGCCCACCAAGGCGACGAUCCGUAGCUGGUCUGAGAGGAUGGUCAGCCACACUGGAACUGAGACACGGUCCAGACUCCUACGGGAGGCAGCAGUGGGGAAUAUUGGACAAUGGGCGCAAGCCUGAUCCAGCCAUACCGCGUGGGUGAAGAAGGCCUUCGGGUUGUAAAGACCUUUUGUUGGGAAAGAAAAGCAGCAGGUUAAUACCCCGCUGUUCUGACGGUACCCAAAGAAUAAGCACCGGCUAACUUCGUG
rnacentral:rRNA from 1 species